UAAGCAUGGAUUUUAUGCAUUUUAAUAAAGAAGAUUUUUGCACAUAAACAGGGGUGAGUGCCGUCUACAUUUUAUAUUCGCAGACUAUACCUGUACUAAUUCUCUGGAGAUAGUGCACUCUUGAGAAAGCGUCCCUUGAGAAAGUCCAGGCUGACGAAACGUACAUUGGGGCGGUGGUGACAGGACUCUAUUAUGGGCUCAUUGGAGAGCAUUACCACCUAGUUCCCUGUGGUGUGGACUGCUGUGCCGACAUUCUACCUUGUGGGAAUGAGUUGAGCUCUCCAGGACACAGUAUUAGAGGAACCAACAUACCAGUUCCAGGAAGGUGACACUGUCCUGGUUAAGACUCUGUCGAAAGGAAAGAAGCCCGGAGACUUCACCUUUGGACCCCCAACCACAGUUGUUGCCGUGACGAGGACGGCGGUUCUCACGGAAGACAGCCUUUCUUGGAUCCACGCCUCUCGGAUCAAACUCGUCCAACAUCACCCAAAGGAGGUAAUAACGGGGGCAGACAGCCCUGACCUUGAAAGCCUACCGAAAGAUGUACUCACUGAUGCCCUGGCCUUGUUCUGGCAGAUGGUUGAAGAAACUAAUUGUUUGCAUUAAUCAUGAUGUUUGCAUUAAUGACUUUAUUGACUUUGAUUCACCCCACGGUGACUCUGCAUAAUGAAUUAGAGAGACACCCAAACAAUAAGUUCCUGAAACACCAUAUAAUGUUUGCACAAAACCUCACUGCGAAGGAUUGUUGGAUAUGCACCCAUGCCCCUGUGUCUGACCAAAGCAUUCCCUACUUUGCUAUCCCUGUGCCCUCAUAUUUCAGGGAGACUGUUUUGACAUGUUUGCUGACACGAGACACCAUAUGCAAAGAACUGAAACACCUCAGUGGGUAUUCCUAUAGUAGGAUGGUUGGGGCAGCCAUGGUGGCAGGGAAACUUAAGCAGCCCAGGCCUAGGACCACAACAAAUGUUGGCUUUCAAGGGGGGUUCCUGGGUAACUCGAGUGGUCACACAUAUACUAGACCUAGGAGCGAUCCCCACAGAAGGAAUGAAAGUUAGUUUUAACAGGACAUCCGCAAGUACUGAUCUUCUUAAACCCAGCCAGAUAGAAAGGUACUUACAUGACCCAAGGUGGCCAAAUAACACCCUCUUUCCUCAGGCUACUCAAGACGUAGACUGCUAUAAUAUAACAGGACACCAACCAUGCAAUGACACGUUAGAAUACCAUCUUACUGAUCCAACAUGUAAUAACCCAGAUGUGGGCUACUGCGGUAGAUUAGGACAGAUACCUCUCUGGUGUUACUUAAAAAAAUGCCCAAAGACUUAUUGCAUAGGUCCUACUUGUUGCCAUUACAUAGACACUUCAGGAACAAUUCAGAUGCACCACCAGCUUGAGAACAUACCAAAAUUGAGGGACAAAUAUGCCAAAGACAAUGAAAUCAACAAGGAUAAGUGGUGGGGGGAUACCUUUUCAAUAUUGAAUCCCGCUACCUGGCAUAGGGGGGUGGAUAGGAGGCGUUCUGCAGCUCAUAAUAUACAUUACUGUUAUUACCCUCAUAGUAUAUGUGUCAAUAAAACUUAUUUUCUUAUGUAUGAAACGCUGCAAGCCAAGACCUGCUGCAGAUACUAAAAUCCUCCUCUCCACCUCAUCAGACACCCAAGUCCCUCUACUUCACCGUCACUCAGCAGAAGGCUAUACUGCCUACAUAAAGACUUUUCAAAAGAAAAUAGAAAACAAGAAAAACCAAGUUGUCUAAAGUGACAACUGGUUUUAAGAGGGGAUUGAAGGAUACAAGGGUCUUGAUAGAAUAAUACAGAUCUGUAAUCUUGUAUGAUGUGUAUCUUAAUUCUGUAAUCUUGUAUGAUGUAUAUCUUAAUUCUGUAAUACUGUAUGAUAUAUCUUAAUUCUGCCUUUUGUAACCGCAAGGCUCGUACCGUACUUCUCGUUUUCUCAACUGCUGAUUCCUAACUGUUGUGCACGUACAUCCUGUUCUUGUGUUCUGCUGACUUGUAACUAUUAAGCAACAUGGUAUAUAUAUAUGAACGUUGGCAAAUAGUAAAACAGAGCGUACUUAGAA